rnacentral:rRNA from 1 species
GGGCAGAGGGGGUCCGGGGUCGGGGGUGGCCUGUUUGGGAUCGGAGUGUAGGGCGUGAGGAGGGAGGAGGAGGAAGGAGCAAUCGGCCACGGCGGCAAGACGGAGGGAGGAGAGACAGGAUGUUGGUACGGCGGCCCUCCUUCGGCGGCAGGCACCGCGGUAUGGGGACAGCUCCACGACGCGUACGAAGCAAGGGGUGUCGGGGAGGGAGUAGGAGCCAGCAGUGGCGGCAACGGACGAUGAGGGGAGGUGGUGGCAACGACGAAUACCCAGCCUAGACCGCAACCACCCAGCCUCGAGCUCGAUCUCCGGCUCUACCCCUUCCAGUUUUUUCCUCUGGCCUACCUCCACGAGCUCCGGCUCCUUCGACCUCUACGUGUUGAUCGAAGUGACCGGUAGGCCACCAACGUCGUACCCCGUUGCGAGGUCAGCACUACCCCACCUCGACGCGUCCUUCCCCUCCUCCGACCGCUGUCCCUUGACCCGGUCCCUCCUCCGUUCGUCGCCAACGCCUACACCAGCCGCCAACUCCCUCCCAGUGGCUGAUCUCGUCGUCCUCGUUCCUCGAGCUCCUCCAAGUCCCCGCGGCUCUUCUUACCUUCCGUCUCGAGACACUCCCGUCCUGACGUCCUCGACUGCUACCAGUACCAAACGGAGAUGAUGUAGCAGACGGUUUCUGGCUAGGUCUUCUAUACCAAGAACUAAUAGAUAUCGGAAGGUACGACCCGAAGAGAGACUAUUUGUUUCCUCUACUAUAACGUUAUACGAUUGGUCUAACUAUCGGUCUGCGAACGCCGUCGGCGUGUUGUGCACUCCAGGUCGGCGUUAUCGAGAAGGGGUUCAGUGACGUCCAUGAUUUCUAUUUACCAACGAAAAACUCUACCGUUUAAGUGUUAGAUAAGACGGAACCACAGUUAUUUCCGGUCAAAAUGUAAAUGAAAAAGUUAUUACUCUACUGAUACUUGUUUCAUAGUUCAAAAAACAGAACCGUAAUGACGGCGGCACAUGCCUACCAAUAACUUUCUUUUUCCUAAGUUCGCCGUAUGGAAGUGAACUAUAUACGAAAUUGGCGUUCUUGACAACAAUAAAAGAAAAGGAAAGGACGUUACUACCAUCAAGCGGAAACUAAGAUCUUCAGCGUUUCCUCACUUCCCAUCUCUAAAGGUAACAGCAACUUAACCACCCUAACAGUGGUUCAAUCACAACGUCUAACAAAGAUAAAAUCUCGUUCUUCGGUUUAGCAACAAGUAACAUUUACAACUUUUUGAACAUAUGACAGUGAAGAUAUAGAUAAUAUUUGAAAGCAAGGACCACACCAUGAAUGGUUAGAACCAAACGG